CAACUAACCAAAAACGAAACCAGAAAUUGGUCAAAUAUCCUCAGAGUUCUUAAAAUUGAAUGAGGUCAUUGCAUUUAUUCCCUUGCUUGAUCCACAGAUAUGCUCUGAAUUUAAUAUUUUUCUUUUUGCUACUGUUUAGAAACAAUGGUUAUCUCUCAGGCAUCCCUCGGCUAGUCCAGUGCUUCCUCCAUUGUGAAGCAUUUUUACAGAAGACAGCUCCAUGGCUCCAGGACCCCUUUGAUAGACUGACUGGAUCCCCCUUCUUCCAUGAAGUGAUUGUUCUCUUCUUCCUCUGUGUCCCUCCACUUCCUUGCACAAGGUGAAAAUGUGGAAACCGCUUUAUUUGAAUUCCAUAGCAAGUCUCAGUUCAGAUGCUCCUCCACUUACCAUGGGACUUUGAGAUGGUUUGGAUAGUUUGUUCUCUCCAAACUUCAUGUUGAAACGUGAUUCCUGACGUUGGAGGUGGGCCCUGGUGAGAGGCGUUUGUGUCAUGGAGGUGGAUCCUCAUGGUACCAUCCUCUUGCCAAUGAGUAAGUUCUCCCUGUGUUUGUUAAUGUGAGAGCUGAUUGUUAAAAAGAGCCUGGCACCUCCUUCUCCUUCUCUGGCUCCCUCUCUCAUGAUGUAAUAUGCUGGCUCCCCAUUUACCUUCUGUCGUGAUUGGAAGCUUCCUGAGGCUUCACCAGGAGCAAAUGCUGGUGCCAUGCUUCCUGUACAGCCUGCAGAACCAGGAGCCAAAAUAAACCACUUUUCUUUAUAAAUUGCCCAGUGUCAAGUACUACUUUAUAGUAAUGUAAAUGGAAAAACACAGGCUCUGUCCCAAUAAACCCAUCUGAAGUUGAAAGUAUCA